AGUCUUAACCACUGGACUGCCAGGGAAGUCCCUGUAUAUUCUUCAAGGGAUUCCAGGCUAGUGCUGCUCGGUCCUGCUCAGCCUGUUCUCUGUGUCAGCCCAGCCAUGGCACUCUUCUGCCCUUCCCUUAUCCUGGUUUCCUCAGUGAUGUUGAGCCCAAGUGCACUCCCUAAAAAACCUCCUGCCAACUAAUCUCCCAGUGAGUCUGCUUCCAAGGGAAUUCAACCUGUGACAAUGCUCAACAUCAGUAAUCAUCAGAAAAAUGCAAAUUAAAACCAUAAGGAGAUGCCAUUUUACAUCCACUAGGAGGGCUAAAAAAAGACAACACCAAAUGUUGGUGAAGAUGUGGAAAAACUGGAACCCUCAUAUAGUGCUGGUGGGAGUGUAAAAAGGUACCACCAUGUUGGAGAAUUGUUUGGCUAUUUCUUAUAAAAUUAAAUAUAUAUUUAACCCGUGA